rnacentral:rRNA from 1 species
UGGGGAAUUUUGGACAAUGGGCGAAAGCCUGAUCCAGCAAUGCCGCGUGUGUGAAGAAGGCCUUCGGGUUGUAAAGCACUUUUGUCCGGAAAGAAAUCCUUGGCUCUAAUACAGUCGGGGGAUGACGGUACCGGAAGAAUAAGCACCGGCUAACUACGUGCCAGCAGCCGCGGUAAUACGUAGGGUGCAAGCGUUAAUCGGAAUUACUGGGCGUAAAGCGUGCGCAGGCGGUUUGCUAAGACCGAUGUGAAAUCCCCGGGCUCAACCUGGGAACUGCAUUGGUGACUGGCAGGCUAGAGUAUGGCAGAGGGGGGUAGAAUUCCACGUGUAGCAGUGAAAUGCGUAGAGAUGUGGAGGGAUACCGAUGGCGAAGGCAGCCCCCUGGGCCAAUACUGACGCUCAUGCACGAAAGCGUGGGGAGCAAACAGGAUUAGAUACCCUGGUAGUCCACGCCCUAAACGAUGUCAACUAGUUGUUGGGGAUUCAUUCCUUAGUAACGUAGCUAACGCGUGAAGUUGACCGCCUGGGGAGUACGGUCGCAAGAUUAAAACUCAAAUGAAUUGACGGGGUCAUAGCUGUUUCCU